GUGGUUGGUUACGAUGUCCCCCAAAAAUAAAAGCAGAAUGAGGUCACCACCACCACCUCAACAAAGAAAAGAAAAACGAAAAAUGUCAGAAAAAGUGCGCAAAGUUGUUGCUUGCUCGUCCUGUGAAGCUUACACACUCUACAGCGAAAGCUCAGAGCCCAACCAAAGAAGGAAGGUAAGGAGGUAAAAAAAAGAAGAAGGAGCUCACACGAGUGAGCUUUGGCCGCCGUCCGCCCUGGUCAGUCUGGCAGGGUUCGUUUGCAGGACUAGUUGACUUUUGGGCGCGCGCGGUCCGAGUUCCGAGUUCCGGCACGUGGAAUGCCCCAGUGAUUUCGGGACCUUACUUUGGGACUUUAAAGUGAUUGAUUGGGGAUAAUUUGAGGAAGAUCCGUGAACUAUUGAACCGGAAAUCGGACUUUUCAAGUGAUUUUGUGACAUUUGAAGGAAAAGAAUUUAAAUUUAACUGAAUAAUCAUGAAAAUAGUGACAUGAUGAAGAAAGUAUCGUAGAAGAAACAAAAUAAAAUUCAAAAUAAAGCAAAAGUUUAACUCUAUCGAGUUUAAAGUUGAGUGAACUGACCCCGUCAAGGAGGUGAAGAACAAAAGACCAACCAACAAACCAAACACCCUGAGGGUAAAAAGGAAAAAGUGCCCUACGGUCGCCACCAACAUUGGACUAAUUGGACACAACGUCGGUGGAUGAACUUCAUGUAAACUUCCGUGAUAAAAAGCUCUAUUUUAAAAACAGUGAACAUAACCUAUAAAGUUAGAGCAGCGAUUUUUCACAGUGCAAACCCCCUUCGAACAGUGUGAGUUACAUUUUUCUCAGUUGCGUGAACAGUCCAGCGUGAAAAGG